rnacentral:rRNA from 1 species
GAGGGGGGCGGCUACACAUGCAGUCGAGCGAGAUCUUCGGAUCUAGCGGCGGACGGGUGAGUAACGCGUGGGAACGUACCCUCUUCUGCGGGAUAGCCACUGGAAACGGUGAGUAAUACCGCAUACGCCCUUCGGGGGAAAGAUUUAUCGGAGGAGGAUCGGCCCGCGUUGGAUUAGGUAGUUGGUGGGGUAAUGGCCUACCAAGCCUACGAUCCAUAGCUGGUUUUAGAGGAUGAUCAGCCACACUGGGACUGAGACACGGCCCAGACUCCUACGGGAGGCAGCAGUGGGGAAUCUUAGACAAUGGGCGCAAGCCUGAUCUAGCCAUGCCGCGUGAGUGACGAAGGCCUUAGGGUCGUAAAGCUCUUUCGCCUGUGAUGAUAAUGACAGUAGCAGGUAAAGAAACCCCGGCUAACUCCGUGCCAGCAGCCGCGGUAAUACGGAGGGGGUUAGCGUUGUUCGGAAUUACUGGGCGUAAAGCGCACGUAGGCGGAUUGGAAAGUAUGGGGUGAAAUCCCAGGGCUCAACCCUGGAACGGCCUCAUAAACUUCCAGUCUGGAGUUCGAGAGAGGUGAGUGGAAUUCCGAGUGUAGAGGUGAAAUUCGUAGAUAUUCGGAGGAACACCAGUGGCGAAGGCGGCUCACUGGCUCGAUACUGACGCUGAGGUGCGAAAGUGUGGGGAGCAAACAGGAUUAGAUACCCUGG